GCGUUUGUCAAAGCAAUUAAGCAAGUGAGAAGACACAGAGGGCAUGCGUGGAGUCCGAAGAAAGAAGACUAGUCCAGCUGCAGGGUCAGACAUUCCACCGAUUCGGCCGCGGCGGCGGGAUGGAGUGGGCCGAUGAGUGGCUCGCCGCCGACAAGCUGCAGCACGUCAUCGCCUGCUUUCUCAUCGUCCUCGCCGGCGCGGCGCUCGCCGGACGCAGCUCCAGAUCCUCCCUCCGCCGCCGCUCCGCCGCCCUCGGCUGCGCCGCAUCCCUCGCCGCGGGCGCCGCCAAGGAGAUCGCGGAUGAGGCUGGCUUCUUUGGGUCCUCGGGCGCCUCCCUCAGGGACGCCGCCGCUGACCUUCUGGGCUCCACGAUGGCCGCCGUCGCGCUCGCCAUCCUCCGCCGCGUCCGCCAGCAGCGCGUGGAGGGCAAGGCGCGCGAUGCGGGCCAUCGAGAUGGCAUCUCUAUGGUCUGAAGAGCGAACCACGAGGCAGAGAGGCCUCUGUUAGCUGCUUCUGCUUUGAAAAUAGAUCGUUCUGAUAAUGUACUCAGAGUUGCUUCAUGAGCUGCACUGGAUUUCACAACCACAUCAGGAUAGCCUCCCUGCCAGUGAGACAAUGACAAGUGUUUCAGUGGCUGAAAUGCUAUCAUCAUUCAUCGGCGGCAAGAUCUGUGGGUAAUUGCAUUGAAAAAUAUAAUGCAUGGAUGCUUCAGAAAAAUUGCGUACCUUUGCUUGAAGAUUCAAGAUGAAUUGAUGCAAAGGACCCAUCUGCUUCUCUGGGAUUAUCUAGUUGACCUCAAGCUGUGACAACCGAACAGUCAUGAUUGAUGGCAAAGCUCAAGGGAAGCUCAAGGGAUAGAAUAGAUCUGUUAAUGCCUAUGUUGGAGGUGAGACUAAAUUUGCAGCGUGACUUUGGCAAGUUGCAACCAUUUGCUAACUGGAGAUAGCUGUUGAACUCAGGAAAAUUGUGUCAGAUAUUAUAUAUGGUAUCAACAGCUACAUAAGAAAAGUUGACCAUAUUGUAUUUUAAAUUUUUUCUUUCUCAUAAUUUUUUAAUUGAAGGCCGAUGAAUAUUUGUGCCUCUAGAGCAUCCACAACAGCUCAUCUAAAUUUAAUUAUCCAUAUUUUCAUUUGGAUGAUCAUCUAAAAUAGUUUCAUCCUUCAUAU